rnacentral:rRNA from 1 species
GAUGAACGCUAGCUACAGGCUUAACACAUGCAAGUCGCGGGGCAGCAUGGGGGUUGCUUGCAAUCCCCGAUGGCGACCGGCGCACGGGUGAGUAACGCGUAUCCAACCUGCCCUUCACCACGGGAUAACCCGGCGAAAGUCGGACUAAUACCGUAUGUUGUCCAUUGACGGCAUCCGAUUUGGACGAAAGGCUUGGCGGUGAGGGAUGGGGAUGCGUCCGAUUAGCCAGACGGCGGGGUAACGGCCCACCGUGGCUACGAUCGGUAGGGGUUCUGAGAGGAAGGUCCCCCACACUGGAACUGAGACACGGUCCAGACUCCUACGGGAGGCAGCAGUGAGGAAUAUUGGUCAAUGGGCGUAAGCCUGAACCAGCCAAGUAGCGUGCAGGAUGACGGCCCUAUGGGUUGUAAACUGCUUUUAUGCGGGGAUAAAGUGGCCCACGUGUGGGCUUUUGCAGGUACCGCAUGAAUAAGGACCGGCUAAUUCCGAG